rnacentral:rRNA from 1 species
AUGACCCCUCAAACAAACACGGCACGGCAACCACCAACACCCGGAAACAAACGCCAGGCGCACACCAUCGGCACCGGUGGGCACGCCGCCCGCUGUGAGCUUAGCAUUUUGGGAAAAGCAACUCCAGAAAAAUCCCAUCUGGAGAGGGCCACGGAGAGCCACCCAGCACCGGACCAGCAAAGAUUCCUCUACCUUUCUACCCUCUCCGUCCAUCUAGAAUGCACAUACGCCGUUGCCGUGGCCUCGCAAAAUUACGGAAACACCCUCGGGUGGAAUUACCAUAACGCCCUCGCGUGUGAAGUUACUGGAGUACCCUUCCCCCGCCAAUAA